rnacentral:rRNA from 1 species
CAGUAGCCGCGGGAAAACGGAGGGGGCUAGCGUUGUUCGGAAUUACUGGGCGUAAAGCGCACGUAGGCGGCUUGGUAAGUUAGAGGUGAAAGCCCGGAGCUCAACUCCGGAAUUGCCUUUAAGACUGCCGAGCUAGUAGGUGAGAGAGGUAAGUGGAAUUCCGAGUGUAGAGGUGAAAUUCGUAGAUAUUCGGAAGAACACCAGUGGCGAAGGCGGCUCACUGGACUGGUAUUGACGCUGAGGUGCGAAAGCGUGGGGAGCAAACAGGAUUAGAUACCCCUGUAGUCCCUGUCUCUUAUAC